rnacentral:lncRNA from 1 species
AAUGAAACAGGAGAGUUCCCUGAUUUCCUCCCGGCCCCCGCCCUCCCACAGCCCUUUGCAGGACGUGCAACAGGGUUGUGGCUCGUGUGUUCGGUCUCUGCCUGCUGAAACCCCUUAUGGGAGGUGGAGCAUGCAGACGGACGGGUGCAGGAGCCAGGGUGCAAAAGCUGGGGCGCUGGGCUUCCAGCCCCACGGCAGUGUCCAGGGGCAGGAUCCCGUGAUUCCCGGAGCCCAAAUGGGCGUGUGUUACAGUGUGCUCUUUUAGCCUUACCAUCAGCUGACGGCUUAAGUGUUAACCAGCUCAAUAGACCCUCUGCCUUUUUGCAAGCGCAGAGGGUCAGUGUGACAGUUUCUGUAUCUCAGCUCUUGUCUCACCUCCCAGAAGAAUCAGGUCACACAUGGACUUGAAGGAUGACGGGCCUGUCUAAUUGCAGGAAAACAAACUCAGGGCUCCCACUGAUUCUACAUUACGAACACCAGAGACUGGGUAAUUAAUAAAAAGAAGAAAUUGAUCUGGCCUACAGUUCUGGAGCCUUGGAAGUCCGAGAUCAAGGAGCUGCAUCUGGAAAACACAGAUCCUGGUGCCGAACAUGAGGACAGGGCAGGCCGAAGGAGAAAGUGGAAGGAGGGGAGCUUCUCUCUCAGCCUCAUCCUUCUGGGCCUGGAUGCUGGAGAGUCAUGAGGUGCUUCAGAGUACUCUGGGUGAGGAGGGAAAGAUGGUGCCCACCACAUGGAGGCCAGCCUAGGUCUUGUAUGAAACCUGUGAGGAGAUUCUCUCUCCCUUGCUGUCUUUGAAAAAGCAAGUUGCCAUGUGAAGAGGGCCAUAUAGCAUAGGAGCUGAAGGCAGCCUCCAACUGACGGCAAGAAAAUGAGGUCCUCAGUCUGACAACCUGCAAGAAACUGAAUGUUCUAAAAGCCACAUGAGCUUGGGAGCAGAUCUGACCCCAGCCAAAUCUCUGAAGUCCGCAGGCAGGAAAUGAAGAUCAGAAAAAGGCUAUUGUCUCAUGAAUAUGAGCCAGACUCCACAGAAGCUGGAGUCCUUCAUUAUGGAGCUAAACACAUACACCUGGCUUAGGAGUCAGAAAAACUGAAAGAGAAUUCAGGGAAGUAGAGAAAUUGCAAGCCCAGAUGCUGCUUCAUACCAAAGAAGCAAGUCAGCAGGUCAGCAACAAUGUGUAUCAGUUCCAAAAUGACUUACACAGGUACCAAGACAAGACAUUAUAUACACUUAUAUAGUCAAAUACUUUAAAACUGUUAACAAACUUGCUACAAUUGUCUCAUUUGUCUUUUAACCUUAAUAUCACAGAUCAAGUUUGUAAUCUCAAAAGUUCACCCUGGCUGCUGUGUGGAGUAUUCUCUUAUCUGCUCAUAUUACACUGUGCUUAUUCAUUCAUCAGUUAAUGGAAAUUUGGGUUGUUUCCUGAUUUUGACUGUAAUGAAUAAUGUUGCUGUAAACAUUCAUGUACAGUUUUGUGUGGACAUGCUUUUCUUUCUCUUGGGUAGGUUCCUAUGAGUGGAAUCACUAGAUUGUAUGGUAAAUGUAUGUUUAACUUUUAAAGAAACUGUCAAACUGUUUUCUAACAUGAACGGGCCAUUUUACGUUCUUAUCAACAAUAUAUGAUGGUUUCAAUUUUCCCACAUCCUCACCAACAUUUGGUAUUGUCUCUCUUUUACAUCAUAACUAUUUUAGUGGGGAUGUAGUGAUAUCUUAUCGUGGUUUUAAUUUGUGUCUCCCUAAUGACUAAUGAUAUUGUGCAUCUUUGCAUAUGCUUGUUAGCCAUUUAUGUACAUUCUUUAGUGAAAUGGCUAUUCAAAUCUUCUGCCCAUUUAAAAAUCGAGUUGUUUUUCUUAUUAUUCAGUUGUAAGAGUUUUUUCUUUAUUCUGUGCAAAAGUCCUUUAUCAAGUCUAGGAUUUUUGAAUAUUUUCUCAACCUAGAGCUUGUUUUUCAACAUUUUUUUCUUAAUGAUCUUUUGAAGUGCAAAAGUUUGAUUUUGAUGAAGUCUAAUGUAUCACUUCUUCCUUUAACUGUCAUGAUUUUUGUGUCGUAUCUAAGAACUCUUUACCCAACUCAAAGUUACCAAGGUAUUUUCUUCCAGAAGUUUUGCAGUUUUAACUCUUCUAUAUAGGCCUGUGAUCCAUUUUUAAUUCAUUUUUUGCAUAUGAUGUGAGAGAAGGGCCUAAGUUCAUAUUCGUACAUGUGGAUGUACAAUGGUUCCAGGAUCACUUGCUGAGAAAAGACUAUCCUUUCCCCAUUGAUUUUUUUGGCACCUGUGUCAAAAAUCAAUUGACCAUAAAUGCAAGCGUUUAUAUCUGAACUCUCAGUUCUUCUCCAUUCAUCUCUAAGGAUAUGUCUAUGCUUACAUCAAUAUCACAGUGUAUUCAUGUGGCUUUGUAGUAAAUUUUGAAAUUGGGUGAUA